rnacentral:rRNA from 1 species
AGUCAAGUAAUUAAGUGCAUGUGGUGGAUGCCUUGGCAGUCAGAGGCGAUGAAAGACGUGAUAGCCUGCGAAAAGCUCCGGGGAGGCGGCAAAUAUCCUUUGAUCCGGAGAUGUCUGAAUGGGGGAACCCACCUACUUUAAGGUAGGUAUUGCAACAUGAAUACAUAGUGUUGCAAGGCGAACGAGGGGAAGUGAAACAUCUCAGUACCCUUAGGAAAAGAAAUCAAUUGAGAUUCCCUCAGUAGCGGCGAGCGAACGGGGAUCAGCCCAUUAAGUUAUGUGUGUUUUAGUGGAACGCUCUGGGAAGUGCGAACGUAGAGGGUGAUAUUCCCGUACACGAAAGGGCACACAUAAUGAUGACGAGUAGGGCGAGGCACGUGAAACCUUGUCUGAAUAUGGGGGGACCAUCCUCCAAGGCUAAAUACUCCUGACUGACCGAUAGUGAACCAGUACCGUGAGGGAAAGGCGAAAAGAACCCCUGUGAGGGGAGUGAAAUAGAUCCUGAAACCGCAUGCAUACAAGCAGUGGGAGCACCUUCGUGGUGUGACUGCGUACCUUUUGUAUAAUGGGUCAGCGACUUAUAUUCAGUAGCGAGGUUAACCGUAUAGGGGAGCCGUAGAGAAAUCGAGUCUUAAUAGGGCGUUUAGUUGCUGGGUAUAGACCCGAAACCAGGCGAUCUAUCCAUGAGCAGGUUGAAGGUUGGGUAACACUAACUGGAGGACCGAACCCACUGUCGUUGAAAAGCCAGGGGAUGACUUGUGGAUAGGGGUGAAAGGCUAAUCAAGCCUGGUGAUAGCUGGUUCUCCCCGAAAGCUAUUUAGGUAGCGCCUCGGACGAAUACCAUAGGGGGUAGAGCACUGUUUCGGCUAGGGGGUCAUCCCGACUUACCAAACCGAUGCAAACUCCGAAUACCUAUGAGUACUAUCCGGGAGACAGACUGCGGGUGCUAACGUCCGUAGUCAAGAGGAAAACAAUCCAGACCGCCAGCUAAGGCCCCAAAAUCAUAGUUAAGUGGGAAACGAUGUGGGAAGGCAUAGACAGCUAGGAGGUUGGCUUAGAAGCAGCCACCCUUUAAAGAAAGCGUAAUAGCUCACUAGUCGAGUCGGCCUGCGCGGAAGAUGUAACGGGGCUAAAACUAUGUGCCGAAGCUGCGGAUGUAUACUUUGUAUACGUGGUAGGGGAGCGUUCUGUAAGCCGAUGAAGGUGUGUUGAGAAGCAUGCUGGAGGUAUCAGAAGUGCGAAUGCUGACGUGAGUAACGACAAAACGGGUGAAAAACCCGUUCGCCGAAAGACCAAGGGUUCCAGUCCAACGUUAAUCGGGGCUGGGUGAGUCGACCCCUAAGGCGAGGCCGAAAGGCGUAGUCGAUGGGAAAAUGGUUAAUAUUCCAUUACUUCUGUGUAAUGCGAUGAGAGGACGGAGAAGGCUAAAUCAGCCUGGCGUUGGUUGUCCAGGUGAAAGGAUGUAGGCAUGUAUCUUAGGCAAAUCCGGGGUACUCUAUGCUGAGAUCUGAUAGCAAGCUGUACUUGUACAGCGAAGUGGUUGAUGCCAUGCUUCCAGGAAAAGUCUCUAAGCUUCAGUUACACAGGAAUCGUACCCGAAACCGACACAGGUGGUCAGGUCGAGUAGACCAAGGCGCUUGAGAGAACUCUGCUGAAGGAACUAGGCAAAAUGGUACCGUAACUUCGGGAGAAGGUACGCUGUUGUUGGUGAUGGAACUCGCUUCCUGAGCUGACGACAGCCGCAGAAACCAGGCCGCUGCAACUGUUUAUUAAAAACAUAGCACUCUGCAAACACGAAAGUGGACGUAUAGGGUGUGAUGCCUGCCCGGUGCUGGAAGGUUAAUUGAUGGGGUUAGCGUAAGCGAAGCUCUUGAUCGAAGCCCCAGUAAACGGCGGCCGUAACUAUAACGGUCCUAAGGUAGCGAAAUUCCUUGUCGGGUAAGUUCCGACCUGCACGAAUGGCAUAAUGAUGGCGGCGCUGUCUCCAGCAGAGGCUCAGUGAAAUCGAAAUCGCUGUGAAGAUGCAGUGUACCCGCGGCUAGACGGAAAGACCCCGUGAACCUUUACUGCAGCUUGACACUGAACUUUGACCUUACUUGUGUAGGAUAGGUGGGAGGCUUUGAAGCUGGAACGCUAGUUCCAGUGGAGCCGUCCUUGAAAUACCACCCUGGUAAUGUUGAGGUUCUAACUCUGUCCCGUGAUCCGGGACGAGGACCGUGUCUGGUUGGGUAGUUUGACUGGGGCGGUCUCCUCCUAAAGAGUAACGGAGGAGUACGAAGGUGCGCUCAGCGUGGUCGGAAAUCACGCGUAGAGUAUAAAGGCAAAAGCGCGCUUAACUGCGAGACCCACAAGUCGAGCAGGUACGAAAGUAGGUCUUAGUGAUCCGGUGGUUCUGUAUGGAAGGGCCAUCGCUCAACGGAUAAAAGGUACUCUGGGGAUAACAGGCUGAUACCGCCCAAGAGUUCAUAUCGACGGCGGUGUUUGGCACCUCGAUGUCGGCUCAUCUCAUCCUGGGGCUGAAGCAGGUCCCAAGGGUAUGGCUGUUCGCCAUUUAAAGAGGUACGCGAGCUGGGUUUAGAACGUCGUGAGACAGUUCGGUCCCUAUCUACCGUGGGCGCUGGAAAUUUGAGAGGAUCUGCUCCUAGUACGAGAGGACCAGAGUGGACGAACCUCUGGUGUACCGGUUGUGACGCCAGUCGCAUCGCCGGGUAGCUAUGUUCGGAAGGGAUAACCGCUGAAAGCAUCUAAGCGGGAAGCCUACCUCAAGAUAAGAUUUCCUAGGACUUUAUGUCCUCUAAAGAGCCGUUCGAGACUAGGACGUUGAUAGGUUGGAUGUGGAAGCAUAGUGAUAUGUGAAGCUGACCAAUACUAAUUGCUCGUGAGGCUUGACUAU